UGUGAUCCAACAACUUUGGGAUAUGGAUUC
rnacentral:piRNA from 1 species